GGAUUGGGAUAUUCCGACUCCUUAAGGGCCUGGCGCACAUAAGGUGUGACCUUUUCAUUCCCGUUGUUAUGGAGGGCCACAUCUGCCAGAGCCUGGAGUCUGCGAAGGCCGGGACCCGGUUCCCCGGCCCACAGUGGGGGUGUGCAAACCCGAGAGAACUGGGUUGCAAAUUCGUGAAGAAUCAGCAUCAUGUUUGGCAGCUGAGUAUUGGAGCCAGGAGCCUGCCAUGAGGCAUGACUCCACAGUUUCUGCAACAACAGAGCCGGGGAAAGGAGGACGCAGCAAGCGCUGAAUAUUAACCAGCAAAGGUAGAUGCUUCAAUAUCGAAACCACCGGGACCCGCAUGUGCAAAGCUACUUAAUGAGGGUGUAAUCAAACACAGUCUACCAGAAGGAAAUUAAUUAGAGUCCGGAGAGCAAGCAGGAAGCAGAACCAGGCUGCUCCCCCUCCUGGCUCUAGAACAUCACUGGCAGCCACUGCUAAGGGAGGGACAAGGCUGGGGGAUGCCAGGCCUCAGCUGGGUGCCAGGGCUCCUGUCCUCUUCCCCGUGACAUUCCGGCUUGCCUUUGGGGGACACC
rnacentral:lncRNA from 1 species